rnacentral:rRNA from 1 species
UACGGGGGGGGCAAGCGUUGUUCGGAAUUACUGGGCGUAAAGGGCUCGUAGGCGGCCAACUAAGUCAGACGUGAAAUCCCUCGGCUUAACCGGGGAACUGCGUCUGAUACUGGAUGGCUAGAGGUUGGGAGAGGGAUGCGGAAUUCCAGGUGUAGCGGUGAAAUGCGUAGAUAUCUGGAGGAACACCGGUGGCGAAGGCGGCAUCCUGGACCGGCAUUGACGCUAAAGCGCGAAAGCCAGGGGAGCAAACGGG